GCAAUUAUACCGCGAAACUGCGAAUGGCUCAUUAAAUCAGUUAUCGUUUAUUUGAUAGUACCUUACUACUUGGAUAACCGUGGUAAUUCUAGAGCUAAUACAUGCUAAAAAUCCCGACUCACGAAGGGAUGUAUUUAUUAGAUUAAAAACCAAUGCCCCUCGGGGCUUUCUGGUGAUUCAUAAUAACUUCACGAAUCGCAUGGCCUUGCGCCGGCGAUGGUUCAUUCAAAUUUCUGCCCUAUCAACUUUCGAUGGCAGGGUCUUGGCCUGCCAUGGUUACAACGGGUAACGGAGGGUUAGGGCUCGACCCCGGAGAAGGAGCCUGAGAAACGGCUACUACAUCCAAGGAAGGCAGCAGGCGCGCAAAUUACCCAAUCCCGACACGGGGAGGUAGUGACAAUAAAUACUGAUACAGGGCUCUUUUGGGUCUUGUAAUUGGAAUGAGUACAAUUUAAAUCCCUUAACGAGGAACAAUUGGAGGGCAAGUCUGGUGCCAGCAGCCGCGNNNGUAAUUCCAGCUCCAAUAGCGUAUAUUAAAGUUGUUGCAGUUAAAAAGCUCGUAGUUGAACCUUGGGCCUGGCUGGCCGGUCCGCCUCACCGCGUGCACUGGUUCGGCCGGGCCUUUCCCUCUGGGGAGCCCUAUGCCCUUCACUGGGUGUAGUGGGGACCCAGGACUUUUACUGUGAAAAAAUUAGAGUGUUCAAAGCAGGCCUAUGCUCGAAUACAUCAGCAUGGAAUAAUAGAAUAGGACGUGUGGUUCUAUUUUGUUGGUUUCUAGGACCGCCGUAAUGAUUAAUAGGGACAGUCGGGGGCAUCAGUAUUCAAUUGUCAGAGGUGAAAUUCUUGGAUUUAUUGAAGACUAACUACUGCGAAAGCAUUUGCCAAGGAUGUUUUCAUUAAUCAGGAACGAAAGUUAGGGGAUCGAAGACGAUCAGAUACCGUCGUAGUCUUAACCAUAAACUAUGCCGACUAGGGAUCGGACGAUGUUAUUUUUUGACUCGUUCGGCACCUUA
rnacentral:rRNA from 1 species